AGUAUGGCAUUGAAUGUGUUUCUAAAAAUGGCGUCGCAAUGUUUUGUGAAAUGUUAUGGUUAAUUUGUUAUUAGGUCGUGAACGAAUUAAGUGACAAGAUAUGAUUGUUUAUUUGUGAUUAUAUUGUGACAGUUUAUGUUUUCAAAACAAUAAAUCGUAAAUAGUCAAGUCUUUUGUCAUUAAUUCCUCUUUGUGAAAUGUUUUUCGACGUUGUGACAUCUUGUAUUCGUUCAGUGUUCAGGGGAUACUAUUUGACUUGUUCGAUUUUAUUGUUUAAUCUUUAUCAUUGCUUUUUGAAUGUAAUAGUUGUUUAAAUCAAUCUUUGAGAAUUUCCAUUUCACUAAAUUUCAUACUUUUUCAUCCAGUUAAAAUAAAUUUUCCUUUAUUUUCCAUUGUCAUGAGGUUUUGUAAUGAUCCUUAACAUACUUUAGUUGCCACGGAGAAACCUGUGAGAUUUAAAAAAUAUAAUUUAGACAUUCAAUUUUUCUCUAUGUUUUUGGAUUUAUUGUUUCAGUAUCGUAGUCUUAUAAAAUUAUUUACUCACUUAUGAACAAAAAUUUGGUGUAAUUAUCUGAUAACCUCAAGUCAAUUAAGUUAUAAAUCUACAGAUUUUCAAACCCAAUGAACUACAGUAGCUUAGGUAAUUCAUUAUAUCAGGCUAAAUAUUAAUCAUAAUAAACCUAAUAGUUUUUUCAAAUUCGAUUCAAAAUUUUUUGUAGGCUAUGAGCAUUUAUCUUGUUUUUUUUAUUCUAUUCCACAUAAAUAUUGGCUUUUAAUACCGUAUAUCAUAUUUAUAAAAAAAACGGACGGAUGGAUUUUUUCAUGCUAAUUAAACCUUAGAAUUAGCUCAUAAUCAAUUUUAAAAGUCUUUUAGAUUGUUUUAAAACCCAAAUGAAACACAAGUAAGUUAGGCUAACUUAUUGGGGUUUUCAAGUUUCAAUUUAUGUAAAAUUAUUGGUAAUUUCAAAAUUAAUUUUCUAUUAUGAGGGCGACCCGAAAUGUGUUAGUGUUGUGAAAUCAUAAUGAUGGUGAUCAAGAUAAGUGAAGUGUCUGUGAUUGUGAUCGGAGCUCUCAAAAUUGCAGAUUCUACAGGAUUAGCGCUUUGGAUAUAAAAUUGGAGGUAUUGCAGACUCUCAGGCAGCUUGGUGAGUCAGAAAAAUUACAAUAUCUUCUCAUUCUUGUGAUAUGGAGCUUAGCAUGGUUGCAUUGUUUCAAAGUUCCUAUAAUUGAGUUGUAUUUUUGUGUGUUUCUUUAAAUUGUAUUCUUUUUCAGUUCUGAUAACAACAUAAUAUGUCAUUAAAACACAUUAAUCUCAGAAAGUAUACUUCAUCAUUUCUUGCAGAAAUACUACAAUAUCCUAAGUAGUCCAAAAAGUAGGUUAUUUUUCAUUCACUUGUGAAUUUGGGUACAGUAUGGCUACAGUAUGACUUGAGCAUGGGUAAUGAGAUGAGGGAGGUUGAUACAAUAAAUGCCAGAGAGAGUGGGAAUCAAAUCCAUUACUGGUACAACUAUAGCAGACUACAGUUGCGACGCUCCAUUGCUCUAGGCUACACCGGCUUGCUAUUUUAAACUCAAAUUAAUUGAAAAUACAUUCAUUUCAGAGUUUAGCUUUACCUAGCACAUAGAAUAAACAAUGGUGUUACCAAACUGCAGUUCUAUCAGUGUUAUCAAAUUCAAUGUUAUAUUAGCAUCUUUAAUUACUCUCUGAGGACUAAUUCUAAAAUUAUAAACUCCAUAGUAGUGUUAUCAACACUGUUUCUGGAUUUAUUUACUUGGAAAAUAUAUUCAAAAAUAUUUUAAAAUUGUAUUAAAUUCUUUGAAUGCUGAUGCAAGAAAGAUAGCUCAUUUUCUGCAAUCAUCAGUCAUCAUGUGAACGUCUGAAAGAACGUCGCAGGUAAGUACCGCAUGCUCUAUUCAUUAUGCUCCAUGUCACAAAGUGUUAAUUGUUUCCAUCAGAAUGAUUUAUUUUUUCUCAUCAAUAUGAUGUUUCCGCGUAAAAAUGACAAUAUCGGUUGCACUGCUGUCUUUACAGCAAAGUACAACGCAGGCUAUAAAAUAAUUGCCGUCUAUUUUUGGUGAAUAUCGAUUCAAUGACUCGGAAGAGUCACCCUUCACUUUUUCGUAAUUAUCGGGGGUAUUUAUUACCCUCUGACGGCCAUUUUGUAGAAAUUUAGAGUCGGUCUGGAGACUUAGUCCGUAAUGUAAACGUAGUGGUGACUCGGUGUGCAACGUUAGUUAAGCAGUGAGAGUCAGUCAUUGGUCUGAGGAACGCGAAUUUUCUUUGAGUCUCCCAGUUUUUCAUUGUGCUACGGAUUUACUUAUUCGAAUUAUAUUUUAUCAAUUUGAAUAUGUUGUAUUUCAUAACUCCAUGCAUGGCCUUCAUUAACCUUGUUUCAAUUGAUUUUAAAAUGUUUUUUUUUGCGUUGACAUGCGUUUAUGUUCAUUAUUUUAAAUAUUACUUCUUAAUGAUUUCUUCGUUCAGAGGUAAGAAUAUUCAUUUCUAUUUAUUUCGUUAUUGUAUAACUUUUUACACGUUAUACUUUUUCAUUCAUCCUAUUUUUAUUAUUAUUCAUUAACGAUUUUGAUCAUAAUUCAUUUCUCAAUUAUUCCAUUCUUAUGAAUUAAUUUUUGUUUUCAUUAUUUUUCAUAUUAUUGUUCCAACAUUUCCAAUUCUUAUUCAAUUUUAUUAUAAAAUUUCCAAAGUCUUAUCCAUUUAAUUUUUUGAAAUUUUUCAUUUAUUACUUCAGCUUCCUUUAGUGGUACCUAUUCUGAAGGAAAUUGAUUUUGUUAUUUGAUAAGGUUUUCUCUUGUUCAAAAGCCUCACUUUUCAUUUUGUUUGUUCUAAUCAAUUCUCUUGCAGCAUUUCUCUCAACUCCGGUAAACAGUAAACAUUUUGGGCUUCCACAUUAUGUGGAAGUGUAGUACAGUAUUAAAUUCAGUCAUAUUCCCAUUUAUUUUUUUUUAAUUUUGAAGUAGAAAGAGUAUACUCACUGAUUACUAGGAAUAGUUACGGUAUCGCCUUGUUUUACUAUCAUUCUACAGUUUCCUAGUAAUCUGAAGACUUUACAAUCUAAAAUUUUUAAAAUUGUGUAUAAUAUUUUACAGUAUGAAAAAUGGACAACAACACUAUUUUCAAUCUAAUUACUAAAGUUAUAUCAGACUUAAUUUUCCACUAUCACCGUACAAGUCGAGAUAUUAUUCUGUUACUUCGGAAUCCUUUUCAUGUUACAUUAAGUGUAAAUGGUUAAUUUUGUUAGUACGUUCAGAGUCAAAAUUAUACCAUGCAAUCUUUUCUCUAUGGUACGUUGCGCCAUCAUUAAUUAUUAUAUUUUUAUGUUGAAUCAACGGUGGAAAUUGUCAUUGUUGAUCGGAAAUCAAACUCUGACGGUCGAUCAUCAAAUCUCUUCUAUAUUCGUAAUAUUUACAUAAUAUUUCAAAUUCCUAUAUAUUUUUAUAACCAUUGGCAAAUUUAAAAAGCCCUUCUUGCAUUUCUGGGCAGCAUAAUUAUUGAAUGCAACUCAUGUAUUUCUCUGUACAUUCAAUUAAUUUGUUCUGAAACCUGAUGAUUUUUAAAAUUAUGUUAGGUUUUUUUAAAUUAAAACAGAAAUUCCAAUAAAGUAUUUUUAGACUGAAAAUUGUGAUUGGGAAGCUAUGAUACUGUACUGUAUUCUGUACAGUAUCUCUCAUCCUGAAACUAUCAUCUCAAUAACUAAAAUGUUUGUAUAAAAGAUUAAUUGUUGAAAUUAUUCUAUUUACCAGAUACAGUAUUAUAAUAGCAAAAUAAUUAAUCCAGAAUUGUAGUAGUAGUAGCAUUAUCAAAAGCCAAAUCAUGUAUCAGAGUGACUUUCCCAUUUGUCACUUAUCUGAUCAAAAGAUAGAAAAUGGUUUUUCUGGUGGUAAUCCUGAUAUUUUUACUAUGAAAUUAAUUCUAAACAAAUUGAAAAAUGAAACAGUAAUAAUUUUCAAUGUUUUUAGUUUGUUAUUCUUAAUUCUAUUGUUGAUAAAAAUUUGCUGUGAAUCAAUGUAAUUUAUUUUCAACAAUGUUUCUUCAAUUUUAUCAGUUGUAAGUAGCUUUCCUUGUUUCAUUAGGUAAUAUGUAUUUGUUUAUUAUUUUUAACAUGUUUUGUAAUCAUAUAAUUUUUAUUGCUUGUAAUGUUCAUAUUUUUUCAAUAAAGGAUACGUAAAGCCCUUCACCUAAAUCAUUCAUGCUGCUACUGUUCGAAAUUAAUAUUUUUUUUUAUUACAAUAUUCAUAAUCAAUUUUUCAGAAUAAAAAAAUGUUUAUUGUAUUGUGGAAAACUAAUAAAGACUCCCUGAAAUCCCUGCUAAUUUUAUAGCUUUAGAAAAUAAUGUUCUACUCUAUUAAUUAUGAUGUUGUAUUAUUAUAAUUUCCAGUACCGUACCUGAUAUAAUAAUAUUCUUUGUUUUUAUUGUAUAAAUUUGUUUAUUUAAAAUGUUUUUACAAUGAGUGUGACGUUCAGCUAUAAUUCAUAUUCUUGUUGCAUCAAUAUUUGUUGAUUUCCGUGUCGCUCCAUAACUCCGUUUAUUAAUGUUUCGUCUGAAAAGUAGUUGAAAUAUUCAUAAUUAGCUUUUAUUAUAAUCAAAUCAAUUCACAUUUGUUAACAUAACUUAUUUUAUGAAGGAAAAUUGAGAGAAUUGACUGAAAUAAGACAUUCAAGGAAUAGUUUUUCCAAUCCAAUUGACAGAAUUCUAAGUUUUUUUUCACAAAAUAAUUGAUUGUAAAAUGAGAUAAAAAUUA
rnacentral:lncRNA from 1 species